rnacentral:rRNA from 1 species
UACGGGGGGGGCAAGCGUUGUUCGGAAUUACUGGGCGUAAAGGGCUCGUAGGCGGCCAACUAAGUCGGACGUGAAAUCCCUCGGCUUAACCGGGGAACUGCGUCCGAUACUGGAUGGCUUGAGUUUGGGAGAGGGAUGUGGAAUUCCAGGUGUAGCGGUGAAAUGCGUAGAUAUCUGGAGGAACACCGGUGGCGAAGGCGGAUCUCUGGGCCUUACCUGACGCUCAGGCGCGAAAGCUAGGGGAGCGAACAGG